rnacentral:rRNA from 1 species
GAUGAACGCUAGCUACAGGCUUAACACAUGCAAGUCGAGGGGAAACGACAUCGAAAGCUUGCUUUUGAUGGGCGUCGACCGGCGCACGGGUGAGUAACGCGUAUCCAACCUGCCCAUCACUUGGGAAUAACCUUGCGAAAGUAAGACUAAUACCCAAUGAUAUCCCACGAAGGCAUCGGAAUGGGAUUAAAGAUUUAUCGGUGAUGGGUGGGGAUGCGUCUGAUUAGCUUGUUGGCGGGGUAACGGCCCACCAAGGCAACGAUCAGUAGGGGUUCUGAGAGGAAGGUCCCCCACAUUGGAACUGAGACACGGUCCAAACUCCUACGGGAGGCAGCAGUGAGGAAUAUUGGUCAAUGGGCGAGAGCCUGAACCAGCCAAGUAGCGUGCAGGAAGACGGCCCUAUGGGUUGUAAACUGCUUUUAUAAGGGAAUAAAGUGGGUCACGUGUGACUUUUUGCAUGUACCUUAUGAAUAAGGACCGGCUAAUUCCGUG